AAUAAGCGCAGUUGUGGGUUUUAGUGUCCAACUUUGACCGUCCGUCUUAUUUGAAAUUUUUUAUUACUAUUUUUAUUGUUAUUAGAUGAUAAAAUAUAAAUAUUACUUUAUGCGUGACUUAAUUUUUCAAAAAAAUUCAUAAAUUUUUCAAAUAAGACGGAUGGUCAAACGUUGGACACGGAAACUUACGGCUGCACUUAAA
rnacentral:pre_miRNA from 1 species